rnacentral:rRNA from 1 species
GAUGAACGCUGGCGGCGUGCCUAAUACAUGCAAGUCGAGCGAACAGACGAGGAGCUUGCUCCUCUGACGUUAGCGGCGGACGGGUGAGUAACACGUGGAUAACCUACCUAUAAGACUGGGAUAACUUCGGGAAACCGGAGCUAAUACCGGAUAAUAUAUUGAACCGCAUGGUUCAAUAGUGAAAGACGGUUUUGCUGUCACUUAUAGAUGGAUCCGCGCCGCAUUAGCUAGUUGGUAAGGUAACGGCUUACCAAGGCAACGAUGCGUAGCCGACCUGAGAGGGUGAUCGGCCACACUGGAACUGAGACACGGUCCAGACUCCUACGGGAGGCAGCAGUAGGGAAUCUUCCGCAAUGGGCGAAAGCUUGCCGGAGCAACGCCGCGUGAGUGAUGAAGGUCUUCUGAUCGUAAAACUCUGUUAUUAGGGAAGAACAAAUGUGUAAGUAACUAUGCACGUCUUGACGGUACCUAAUCAGAAAGCCACGGCUAACUACGUG